GUGGGGAAUAUUGGGCAAUGGGCGAAAGCCUGACCCAGCAACGCCGCGUGAAGGAAGAAGGUUUUCGGAUUGUAAACUUCUGUCCUCAGGGAAGAAGGAAGUGACGGUACCUGAGGAGGAAGCCCCGGCUAACUACGUGCCAGCAGCCGCGGUAAUACGUAGGGGGCGAGCGUUGUCCGGAAUGACUGGGCGUAAAGGGCGCGUAGACGGCUGUCUAAGUCUGGAGUGAAAGUCCUGCUUUCAAGGUGGGAAUUGCUUUGGAGACUGGAUGGCUUGAGUGCGGAAGAGGUAAGUGGAAUUCCCAGUGUAGCGGUGAAAUGCGUAGAGAUUGGGAAGAACACCAGUGGCGAAGGCGACUUACUGGGCCGUAACUGACGUUGAUGCGCGAAAGCGUGGGGAGCGAACAGGAUUAGAUACCCGAGUAGUCC
rnacentral:rRNA from 1 species